UUUAACAUUAAUUAUGCUUACUAAAUUUUGGCAUGCAAGAAAACCCCCAAAGUCUACAACUAUAUUACCUCCUAUAAAAUAAUUUUGCAGUAUAAUUAAGUGAAGAACCUUCAAAUGGGGAGAUUGUCCUGGUCCUGGUGCCAUCACAGGUUUCUUAUCAGAGGGAAGAAAGAAGGCAAUGUGAUGCUGGGAGCAGAGGCUGCAGGGCUGGCGGCUGAAACGGUGAGGUCUCUGCUGUUGCCCAGCACUGUCAGUGUCUGGCUAAUGGGCCACAUGAUCAUCUACUGUUGUGUAUUUCUUGAACUCUGAGGGGAAGUAAAGUAAAACCUCCUGGCAGGAAGUAAAGACUUGCUAACUGUAGGACAAGCUAGAAAAUGUUUUAUGAAUUGGAAAAAUUGACAUUGUAUUAACGUUGCAGUGGAGGCUGCUAGUUGUCCAUGACAAUUUUCCCUUUCAUCCAGUAUAAUGAAGCUGUGAUUGGGCACAUGGCUGCCUACCUGGAACUAAGUUCCCCAGGCCCUUGUAGUUGGGUGUGCCCACUUAAUUAACUUUCCUCCCACAGAAGUUAAGUUGAGACAAGGCUGCCUUCUGUUAUCAGUCCUUUCUCCUCCCCAUUGGCUGGAUCUAGGUUAUUGCAACAAUGGCCCGCAGGACGUUUCUCAGCUACUCAAGGUUAGCUCUGUAAUCUGUGUAUCCUAAAUGAUGAUUAUAAGUGCAUAUAAAAUUUAAUUAAGCGGUAUAAUUAAAAUCUGAACAUUUUACUGUUUAUAUUUUACUUCAAUUAAAUCUGGGGGUUUUUUGGGGGGGGGAGUCUGCUGUUUUGUUUUGUUUUUUUUUUUUUUAUUAACCUAGAUGCAGAAGUCUGAGUUUGGCAAGAACUUGUAGGAGAGUGCUACAGUUUGGUAAGAGAUAAAAUUACCCUGGAGGAGAACGAUGGCAGAGAAGAUGAAGAAUGCAGAAUAAUUUAUUAAAGGCAGCAAAUCCAAAGGACCAGGUUCUUCAGUAAUUUCAACAAUUAGUGGCAUAAUGGAAACAAGAAAUGAAAGAAUAUCAGGUCUCUACAUGACAUUUCAUCUUCUCAAGCACAUAUGAUGUACAGAGUCAAACUGACAAUCAGAAUAUCUUUCAAUACUCGUUGGAGGGUUGGUUGGGUGAUCAAGAAGUUCUUCAGUUGUUCUUUAUUGUUACUUGAAAUACUUCACUCCAUGCUCUUCUUGACUUGAUGGUUUGUGUUGAGAAGUCAGCCGCGAUUCUGCUGCCAUAUUGUUAUUUCCUGAUUUCUUAUUAUUUUAAAGAGAUCUUUCACUUUGUGAUCACUAGCCACAAUCCUGUCUUCAAGAUCUGAG